GCCCCCGUAGCUCAGUGGAGAGAGCAACGGUUUCCUAAACCGUAGGUCGGACGUUCGAGUCGUCUCGGGGGCA
rnacentral:tRNA from 1 species